rnacentral:rRNA from 1 species
UACGUAGGGGGCGAGCGUUAUCCGGAUUCACUGGGUGUAAAGGGAGCGUAGACGGCUAUGCAAGCCAGGGGUGAAAGCCCGGGGCCCAACCCCGGGACUGCCCUUGGAACUGCAUGGCUGGAGUGCGGGAGGGGCAGGCGGAAUUCCUGGUGUAGCGGUGAAAUGCGUAGAUAUUAGGAGGAACACCAGUGGCGAAGGCGGCUUACUGGACGGCAACUGACGCUGAGGCUCGAAAGCGUGGGGAGCAAACAGG